rnacentral:rRNA from 1 species
AGAACGAACGCUGGCGGCAGGCUUAACACAUGCAAGUCGAGCGAUCCUUUCGGGGAUAGCGGCGGACGGGUGAGUAACGCGUGGGAACGUGCCCUUUGGUUCGGAAUAGCCCUGGGAAACUGGGAGUAAUGCCGAAUAAGUUCUUCAGGAGUGGAUUCUGGGGAGGAAAGAUUUAUCGCCAAAGGAUCGGCCCGCGUUGGAUUAGGUAGUUGGUGGGGUAAUGGCCUACCAAGCCGACGAUCCAUAGCUGGUUUGAGAGGAUGAUCAGCCACACUGGGACUGAGACACGGUCCAGACUCCUACGGGAGGCAGCAGUGGGGAAUAUUGGACAAUGGGCGCAAGCCUGAUCCAGCCAUGCCGCGUGAGUGAAGAAGGCCUUCGGGUUGUAAAGCUCUUUUGUCCGGAAGAAAAGCUCUCGGUUAAUACCCGGGGUUCUGACGGUACCGGAAGAAUAAGCACCGGCUAACUUCGUGCCAGCAGCCGC